AUUGAACGCUGGCGGCAUGCCUUACACAUGCAAGUCGAACGGCAGCACGGGUGCUUGCACCUGGUGGCGAGUGGCGAACGGGUGAGUAAUACAUCGGAACGUACCUUAUCGUGGGGGAUAACGCAGCGAAAGUUGCGCUAAUACCGUAUACGCCCUGAGGGGGAAAGCGGGGGACCGCAAGGCCUCGCGCGAUUAGAGCGGCCGAUGUCUGAUUAGCUUGUUGGUGAGGUAAAAGCUCACCAAGGCGAUGAUCAGUAGCUGGUCUGAGAGGACGAUCAGCCACACCGGGACUGAGACACGGCCCAGACUCCUACGGGAGGCAGCAGUGGGGAAUUUUGGACAAUGGGGGCAACCCUGAUCCAGCAAUGCCGCGUGAGUGAAGAAGGCCUUCGGGUUGUAAAGCUCUUUUGUCAGGGAAGAAACAGCAGCUCUAACACAGUCCGGGAAUGACGGUACCUGAAGAAUAAGCACCGGCUAACUACGUGCCAGCCGCCGCCGUAA
rnacentral:rRNA from 1 species